AGUGGCGCACGGGUGAGUAACGCGUGGGUAAUCUACCUCCGACUCGGGGAUAACAUUGCGAAAGCGAUGCUAAUACCGGAUAAUAUCAAGAAUGCUUCGGUUUUCUUGAUCAAAGGUGGCCUCUACAUGUAAGCUUUUGAUUGGAGAUGAGCCCGCGUACCAUUAGCUUGUUGGUGGGGUAAUGGCCUACCAAGGCUGCGAUGGUUAGCUGGUCUGAGAGGAUGAUCAGCCACACUGGAACUGACACACGGUCCAGACUCCUACGGGAGGCAGCAGUGAGGAAUUUUGCGCAAUGGGGGAAACCCUGACGCAGCAACGCCGCGUGAGUGAUGAAGGCUUUCGGGUCGUAAAGCUCUGUCGAGUGGGAAGAAAAACCAGACACCAAUAUUGUCUGGGACUGACGGUACCACUGAAGGAAGCACCGGCUAACUCCGUGCCAGCAGCCGCGGUAAUACGGGGGGUGCAAGCGUUAUUCGGAAUCAUUGGGCGUAAAGAGCGCGUAGGCUGCCCUAUAAGUCAGAUGUGAAAGCCCGGGGCUUAACCCCGGAAGUGCAUUUGAAACUAUUGGGCUUGAGUAUGGGAGAGGGAAGUGGAAUUCCUGGUGUAGAGGUGAAAUUCGUAGAUAUCAGGAGGAACACCGGUGGCGAAGGCGACUUCCUGGACCAAUACUGACGCUGAGGCGCGAAGGCGUGGGGAGCAAACAGGAUUAGAUACCCU
rnacentral:rRNA from 1 species